GUUGUGGAUGAACGAACGAAGCUUCUAGUUCAUGCAGCAUCAUUGAUAGUUGUGAUUUAGGCCUGGAUCUUGUUGGUCCAUAAGAGAGUUGUUCGUCAGAAUGAAAGACCACGCAUCUGGUAUGGUCCGAUGUUAAUCCGAGAUCAGGAGAGGAUGGCGAAUCUGAACUACAUCUACAACUGCAAUGGCACAGAAGCUAUGUGAAUGCUUCGAAUGAAAAGACCUUUUGCAAGGCUGGUGAGGACGUUUAGGAGCAGGGGGCUGCUGGAAGAUAGCAUCCACACCACUGUGGAAAAGCAAGUGGCCAUGUUCCUCCAUGUUAUUGGUCAUAAUCGGAGGUUUAUCGUUGUACACAACACCUUCCGGAGAUCAAUGGAGACCAUCUCCAGGUACUUCAAGCAAGUGUUGUAUGCUGUUGGGGAGCUUAGAGGAGAGAUGAUCAUGUCACCAACCGGUCGGACUCCUACCAAGAUUCGCACUAGCCCAAGAUGGUAUCCAUACUUCAAGGAGAGCACUUGA
rnacentral:rRNA from 1 species